ACUCAUCGGGAAACGGUGCCUGGAGCCUGCGCACUCGGUUACGGCCCACAGUGCGUGAGCGCAUGCGCCUGGAGUGCGGGACGGAGACGCUGGAGAAGGUAGGGCCGGUGCGGUGAACUUGGGCAGGUGGGCACCGAGGAGGCCAGACCCCUCGCACCCUUGUGAGUGUCACACUGGGACUAUGUGAGCCAGUGAAAUCCCCGAAAGGGGCAAUUAAAAAUAUCCAGGGCUUGGCAAGAUCUGAUGGGUGUGUACAGAUUUCUCUCUCAAGGCCAAUAUCCCUGGUGACCUUCCAUUUAUGGAGAUAGACGUGUGGCAGGAAAGAAGGUUAAUACAAUCUUCAGCACUAUUACACUGUGCUUUUUUUCCUUCCAUGAAUUUGUUUUGGAAAGACCCUCACAGCCCCGGCAAACUUGUUCAGAAGGGGAGGGGUGAAGCGCCGGGAUGAAAUCAGGAUCUGGAGACCAGGAAAUGCCACCCCAUGGGCUGGAGCCCAAGGGGACACCCGCAUCCAUCUCCGUCUGCCCACACAACAGGAAGGCAGAGGAAGGGCAGACGGGGUCCACCCUCGGCCAGGCUCUCCCCACCUGGUGGUCUUCAGAGACCCUGGUUCCAGUCCCCUGCCUUCACCCACCUCCCACGAGCCCCAGUUGCCUGGACAGGCUUCAGCACAUGAUAUAAGAGAGGAUGGAGCAGCCGGUGCUAAUCACUUGGCGUUGCCCAAGAGUUCAGGGGUCAGAAACUCAACUCAAACUUUUAAGCCCAAAAGAGAAUCCGUUUCACAUUACUGCCACCUGUCUGGAGCCAAGGGGUGGACUUCAGGUAUGGCUGGAUCCAGGACUUUGGACCAUGUUCCUAGAGACUGAUCACUCUUGGCCUGCUCUGCUAUAUUCUGGGUGGGCUUCCUUCUCGGGCAGCUUCUCCCGUCAUGGGGUAGUGAUGUCUAGGAGCCCCAAACCUAUACUCCUUGCUCCCCUAACAUGCCCAUUCUAUAGAUGGGGAAACAAGAGCUUUGGAGUGAAGUGACUUCAUAACAACAUCACAUCACAUCACAUCACAUCACAUCACAACACAACACAACACAACAUAACAAACAUAACAUAACAUAAAACAUAACAAACAUAACAUAACACAACAUACCACAACAUAAAACAUAACAUAUAUAACAUCAUAACAUAACAACAUAUAACAACACAUAACACCACAACACAACAUGACAUGUCUCAUGUAACACCUGUGAGGGGUGAAGACAAAUUUACACACAGGUCUGACCCCAAACCCUGAGUACUUAAACUACUAAAUCACUAUGCCUGCUACAGACCUGUCCCCAGGGUGUAAAGGAAAUGGUUAGCAUUUUCUCAGUUUUCAGAGUUCUCUCAUUUGAAUCUCUUCAGUCUUUUCUGACUUUUAACUCACACUUGUCUGAGCCAGAAUCUGGCACAGUAUGCAAUCUCCAGGCAGUAAAGAUUCAGGGAGCAGUUCCUACAUGCCCCAAACUAGAUGCUGGUCUUUUAUAGAUAUGAAACUAGUUAAGUAUGUGAAAUUGAAAGUAAUGACUUCAUGGGGUUCCACAAAGAGCCCAGUAGCUUUUGGAUAUCUUAGCAGGUGAACACAUCUGAAACCUACAGAGGGAAGGAUUCACCCUGAGCAAAAAGUUAAGAGCGAAUAUAGAUCUGGGCUACAAUUCCUUCGGGCUUUAUGCAAAAAUGUAAAUGUUUCCAAGAAAAAUAAUGUGAUUACCUAACAUCAGUCAUCACAUUUUAAGUAGAUCUGGGUGUAUCUAAGUAACAUCUGGGAGGGGUGACUUUUGCCCUGGAAAUAAAAAAAGCUAAGAACUAAUCUUUGAGUUACUGUACAUUCAGGCCACAUGAAAAAAAAAUGUAACUGCUCCCAAGAAAAGGACUUUAUCUACCUGAUAGCAGCCAUUCACCUUCAACUAGCACUAGUGAUACCUAACUAACACCAGAGGGGGAAGGAUUUUGCCCUGGACAAAAACCUAAGAGUUAAUCUGGACUUGAACUACAAUUCUUCUAAAUCCCCUUAGAAAAUAUGACUGUUCCCAAGAAAAGGAAUAUACAUGCCUGACAGUCAGUCAUUCACACUUUAGGUAGAAUUAGCUCAAAGUACUUGGAGCACAUUUUCCCUCUGUAUUGUCAGAAACCACUUGAGGUAGUUUCAGGGAUGGAAAGCAAAAAGCACCAGUGAGAAAAGCGUGCAUAUAGGGGAACAGCGUCCUAGCAGGGCUUGGCUGGUGAUCAUUGAUACUUUAAUGUUCACAUCAGGAAAAAGCAAAAAUAGUGAAAGAGAGGCAUUAUCUUAUUUAAGGAAUGUUCCAGGGAGGCAUCUAGUCCCACUGGGAAUGCUGGGCUUUGGGGACACAGGCAAGUCAAUUUACUUUUGUAGGGGAGGCAGCCCCUAUGUGCUAACCCUAAUACAAGGUAAGUUUGCACUAGCAAACUUAGGAAACCAUGGAGAAGGUAUGAUCUCAUUUUAUUUGUAAUGUUUUACUUAUUUUUUAAAAAAAUGGAAUUGUAUGUCUUUGUUUGGAAUAUGUACAAUAGGCACAUGGCUCAAAAUUCCAAGAGUGUAGAUGAUUGUACAGUGGAAAGCCUUUCUCCUCUGCUACACCAGCUCCCCAGAUCCCAUCCCUGAAGGCUACUACUAUCCCCCGGUUCUCAUGUCCCAUUUCAGAGAUACUCUAUACAUACACAAGAAAUGUGUAUAUACAUCCAUUUUCCCCUUUCUCACACACAUACAGUAUCCUGUGUUCUAUACCUUCAUUUUUUUACUGAAUUGGUGCAUUUUUAAUGGGAAGACAUUACUCCAUGAGAGAUGAAACUAGCUUUUAGGGGGUGGCAAAAUAUCUUACUCUUUUUAUGUAUAAAUACAGAUAUACAUACACCAUGCAAGCAGAUAUAUAAUAUACAUAUGAUAUUAAAAGUUUACAGGGUUGGCUGUUAGGAAAAAUGCCUUCAAAGUCUCCCCGUGGGGCAAAAAUGAUAAAAGAGAAGUUGAGAAACACUGAUGUAACCAUAUAUUUUCAGUAUUGUCCCAUAUCAGUACAUACAGAUAAUUUCCAUUCAUUUUCACAGCUAUAUAAUAUUCCAUUGUGUGACUGCAUCAGACUCUAUUAAUCAAUCCCCUACUGAUGGAUAUUUUCAGUCUCUAAUGUUUUGCUAAAUGUUUUAUGUAUAUGGUUGUUCAUUAUGUAUUUUGCAUACCUUUUAUUGUAGAGAAUAAACUUAUAAUAAUAAUGCACAGGUCUUAGAUGUAUUCAGUUUGAUGAGUUGUGCAAUUCUAUAUACUUGUGUAAACCACCACUAAAGACCAGAUAUAGGAUAUUUUCACCCCCCUUGAAAUUUCAUGCCCCUGUCCACUCAAUUUCCCACUCUGUCCCAGGCAACCACUUUCCGUCCCCAAAGAUUACUUUUGCCUGUUCUCUGGAUUUCAAAUGAAUGGAAUCAUAUAGUGUGUAAUCUGUUUUCUUUUGGCACAGUGCAUUUGUGAUUCAUCUGUGUUAUUACAUGUAUUAGUAAUUUGUUUCUUUUUAUAGCUGAGUAGUAUUGUGUUGUAUGGAUAGAACAGUUUGUUUAUCCCCUCCCAUGUUGUUGGCUAUUUGAGUGUUUCCAGUUUGGGACAAUUAUGAAUAAAAGUGCUAUGAACAUUCACACGCAAGUCUUUCUGGGAACAUACAUUUGCAUUUCUGUUAGGUAAAUACCCAGAAGAGAAAUCACUAAGUCAUAUGGCAAAUGCCCAUUUCACUUUAUAAGAGACUGCCUAAUUUCCCAAAGUUUUGCAGAAUGGUUAGACCAUUUUGGUUCCCACCAAUGAUGGAUGAGCAUUCCAGUUGCUCCAUGUCUUUCUGC